GAAGAUGACGAGCGGCGGACGGGUGAGUAAUACUUAGGAAUCUACCUAGUAGUGGGGGAUAGCUCGGGGAAACUCGAAUUAAUACCGCAUACGACCUACGGGAGAAAGGGGGCAGUUUACUGCUCUCGCUAUUAGAUGAGCCUAAGUCGGAUUAGCUAGAUGGUGGGGUAAAGGCCUACCAUGGCGACGAUCUGUAGCUGGUCUGAGAGGAUGAUCAGCCACACCGGGACUGAGACACGGCCCGGACUCCUACGGGAGGCAGCAGUGGGGAAUAUUGGACAAUGGGGGAAACCCUGAUCCAGCCAUGCCGCGUGUGUGAAGAAGGCCUUUUGGUUGUAAAGCACUUUAAGCAGUGAAGAAGACUCCGUGGUUAAUACCCACGGACGAUGACAUUAGCUGCAGAAUAAGCACCGGCUAACUCUGUGCCAGCAGCCGCGGUAAUACAGAGGGUGCAAGCGUUAAUCGGAAUUACUGGGCGUAAAGGGAGCGUAGGUGGCUCGAUAAGUCAGAUGUGAAAUCCCCGGGCUCAACCUGGGAACUGCAUCUGAAACUGUUGAGCUAGAGUAUGUGAGAGGAAGGUAGAAUUCCAGGUGUAGCGGUGAAAUGCGUAGAGAUCUGGAGGAAUACCGAUGGCGAAGGCAGCCUUCUGGCAUAAUACUGACACUGAGGCUCGAAAGCGUGGGUAGCAAACAGGAUUAGAUACCCUGGUAGUCCACGCCGUAAACGAUGUCUACUAGUCGUUGGGUCCCUUGAGGACUUAGUGACGCAGCUAACGCAAUAAGUAGAC
rnacentral:rRNA from 1 species